UACGUAGGUGGCAAGCGUUGUCCGGAGUUACUGGGCGUAAAGGGCGCGUAGGCGGCGAUCCAAGUUAGGCGUGAAAGCCCCGGGCUUAACCUGGGAAUAGCGCUUAAGACUGGACUGCUUGAGUGCGGGAGAGGUGAGUGGAAUUCCCAGUGUAGAGGUGAAAUUCGUAGAUAUUGGGAAGAACACCAGUGGCGAAGGCGGCUCACUGGCCCGCAACUGACGCUGAGGCGCGAAAGCGUGGGGAGCAAACAGG
rnacentral:rRNA from 1 species